rnacentral:rRNA from 1 species
GACGAACGCUGGCGGCGUGCUUAACACAUGCAAGUCGAACGGAAAGGCCCUGCUUUUGUGGGGUGCUCGAGUGGCGAACGGGUGAGUAACACGUGAGUAACCUGCCCUUGACUUUGGGAUAACGUCAGGAAACUGGGGCUAAUACCGGAUAGGAGCUCCUGCUGCAUGGUGGGGGUUGGAAAGUUUCGGCGGUUGGGGAUGGACUCGCGGCUUAUCAGCUUGUUGGUGGGGUAGUGGCUUACCAAGGCUUUGACGGGUAGCCGGCCUGAGAGGGUGACCGGCCACAUUGGGACUGAGAGACGGACCAGACUCCUACGGGAGGCAGCAGUGGGGAAUAUUGCACAAUGGGCGGAAGCCUGAUGCAGCAACGCCGCGUGCGGGAUGACGGCCUUCGGGUUGUAAACCGCUUUCGCCUGUGACGAAGCGUGAGUGACGGUAAUGGGUAAAGAAGCACCGGCUAACUACGUG